GAUGAACGCUGGCGGCGUGCCUAAUACAUGCAAGUCGAGCGAACGGACGAGAAGCUUGCUUCUCUGAUGUUAGCGGCGGACGGGUGAGUAACACGUGGAUAACCUACCUAUAAGACUGGGAUAACUUCGGGAAACCGGAGCUAAUACCGGAUAAUAUUUUGAACCGCAUGGUUCAAAAGUGAAAGACGGUCUUGCUGUCACUUAUAGAUGGAUCCGCGCUGCAUUAGCUAGUUGGUAAGGUAACGGCUUACCAAGGCAACGAUGCAUAGCCGACCUGAGAGGGUGAUCGGCCACACUGGAACUGAGACACGGUCCAGACUCCUACGGGAGGCAGCAGUAGGGAAUCUUCCGCAAUGGGCGAAAGCCUGACGGAGCAACGCCGCGUGAGUGGUGAAGGUCUUCGGAUCGUAAAACUCUGUUAUUAGGGAAGAACAUAUGUGUAAGUAACUGUGCACAUCUUGACGGUACCUAAUCAGAAAGCCACGGCUAACUACGUGCCAGCAGCCGCGGUAAUACGUAGGUGGCAAGCGUUAUCCGGAAUUAUUGGGCGUAAAGCGCGCGUAGGCGGUUUUUUAAGUCUGAUGUGAAAGCCCACGGCUCAACCGUGGAGGGUCAUUGGAAACUGGAAAACUUGAGUGCAGAAGAGGAAAGUGGAAUUCCAUGUGUAGCGGUGAAAUGCGCAGAGAUAUGGAGGAACACCAGUGGCGAAGGCGACUUUCUGGUCUGUAACUGACGCUGAUGUGCGAAAGCGUGGGGAUCAAACAGGAUUAGAUACCCUGGUAGUCCACGCCGUAAACGAUGAGUGCUAAGUGUUAGGGGGUUUCCGCCCCUUAGUGCUGCAGCUAACGCAUUAAGCACUCCGCCUGGGGAGUACGACCGCAAGGUUGAAACUCAAAGGAAUUGACGGGGACCCGCACAAGCGGUGGAGCAUGUGGUUUAAUUCGAAGCAACGCGAAGAACCUUACCAAAUCUUGACAUCCUUUGACAACUCUAGAGAUAGAGCCUUCCCCUUCGGGGGGGCAAAGUGACAGGUGGUGCAUGGUUGUCGUCAGCUCGUGUCGUGAGAUGUUGGGUUAAGUCCCGCAACGAGCGCAACCCUUAAGCUUAGUUGCCAUCAUUAAGUUGGGCACUCUAAGUUGACUGCCGGUGACAAACCGGAGGAAGGUGGGGAUGACGUCAAAUCAUCAUGCCCCUUAUGAUUUGGGCUACACACGUGCUACAAUGGACAAUACAAAGGGCAGCGAAACCGCGAGGUCAAGCAAAUCCCAUAAAGUUGUUCUCAGUUCGGAUUGUAGUCUGCAACUCGACUACAUGAAGCUGGAAUCGCUAGUAAUCGUAGAUCAGCAUGCUACGGUGAAUACGUUCCCGGGUCU
rnacentral:rRNA from 1 species